rnacentral:rRNA from 1 species
UACGGAGGGUGCAAGCGUUAUCCGGAUUUACUGGGCUUAAAGGGUGUGUAGGCGGGCUUUUAAGUCAGUGGUGAAAUCCCCGGGCUCAACCUGGAAACUGCCAUUGAUACUAUUAGUCUUGAAUUUUGUUGAGGUAGGCGGAAUAAGUCAUGUAGCGGUGAAAUGCAUAGAUAUGACUUAGAACACCAAUUGCGAAGGCAGCUUGCUAAACAAAUAUUGACGCUGAGGCACGAAAGCGUGGGGAUCAAACAGG